CCUACGGGUGGCUGCAGUCGAGAAUCUUCCGCAAUGGGCGAAAGCCUGACGGAGCGACGCCGCGUGUGGGAUGAAGGCCUUCGGGUUGUAAACCACUGUCAGUUGGGAGGAAAUAUCCGGGGGUUCUCCCCCGGGUUUGACCGAUCUUCAGAGGAAGUCCGGGCUAAGUACGUGCCAGCAGCCGCGGUAAUACGUACCGGACAAACGUUAUGCGGAAUUACUGGGCUUGAAGAGUGCGUAGGCGGCCUAUGAAAUCCCUUGGCUCAACCAAGGAAUAGCGCUUCAAACCACUAGGCUAGAGUGAGGCAGAGGUGAGCGGAACUGAUGGUGGAGCGGUGAAAUGUGUUGAUAUCAUCAGGAACACCGGUGGCGAAGGCGGCUCACUGGGCCUUGUCUGACGCUGAGGCACGAAAGCUAGGGUAGCAAACGGGAUUAGAUACCCGAGUAGUC
rnacentral:rRNA from 1 species